rfam:Felis catus isolate Cinnamon breed Abyssinian chromosome F1, whole genome shotgun sequence.
GCCUGGGUGGCUCAGUUGGUUGAGCGUCUGACUGUAUCUCAGGUCGAAUCUCGCACUCUGUGAGUUCGAGCCCCACGUCAGGCU